UAAUCUCGUGUCGGCGACUUUCGGCUUC
rnacentral:sRNA from 1 species